rnacentral:rRNA from 1 species
CCAGCAACUUGGAGGAAUGUAUAGCGAAAGCUAAUUGUAUUAACUAAUAGUUAAUGCAAUAUCGAUUAUCUCGACUAAAAUUCUAGGUAGAGUAAUGAUAAUGACAUUUUUUACCUAUAGGUCUUGACCAAAUCACGUGCCAGCAGUCGCGGCAAUACGUGGAAGACUAGUGUUAUUCAUCUUUAAUUGGUUUAAAGGGUACCUAGACGGUAUAUCUAGCCCAAAAAGGGUACUGAUAAACUAGAGUUUAAUGUGAGGGGGGGAGUACUAAUGGAGUAGAGAUGAAAUUCUGUCAUACCAAGAGGUAACAGGUAUCGGCGAAAGCAACCCUUUAUGCAAAAACUGACGUUGAAGGACGAAGGCUCGGGUCACAAACAGGAUUAGAUACCCCAGUAGUCUGGGCAGACAACGCUGAAUGCCAUAGAUUAGAUUAUAUUUCUUCUAUAAAUGAAAGUGUAAGCAUUCCACCUCAAGAGUAAUUUGGCCACAUUGAAACUGAAAUCAUUAGACCGUAUCUGAAACCAGUAGUGAAGUAUGUUGUUUAAUUUGUUAGCCCUCAAAAAACCUUACCACAAUUUGAAUAUUUUUAUAUUUCUUUAUAAUUAUACAAGAGUUGCAUGGCUGUCUUCAGUUAAUGUCGUGAGAAUUUGGUUAGUUCCAUAAAAUUAACGUAAACCCUUACUUUAUUUUUUUUUUAUAAAGUUGUUCACCGCUAUAUUGGAUAUGAUAAAAGGGACUAAGACAAGUC